AAGAUAAGAGCGGGUCUCGGUAGCCAAGGAGACUGCCUGUGGAUCACAUUCAAAUUCUAAAUAAAAUCUGCGUUAAGGCUACAGGCAAGUCAUCCUUGGCUACCAAACAAGGCUCUUCAUCU
rfam:Jatropha curcas cultivar GZQX0401 scaffold779_27, whole genome shotgun sequence.